CGGAUUUACCGACUCACACACAGUCCGCCGGUUCUGGAAAAUAGACCGAGGAUUAUUUAUCUACUAUAUAACUUACAUCCCAGAUAAGCUCGACGAUUGUCUGUUUAUACUUCAGAGCAKCAUGUUAGUAGGAGAGUAAUCCUGAUGAUGCUGUAGAACAGCGAAUGCUCGACUUCAUCUCUAAAGAUAUUAACUGGCUUCAGGAAGCUCACUAGGACUUCACAGUAAGCUUUAAUAAUGGAGUGAUUGUCAACCAACUGUCAUUUCAAGGAUGGCAUCUUCAUCAAAUAAUGAUGUCCAAACCUUCAAAGUUGUGUURUGUGGUGAGAAGGGUGUUGGGAAAACUGCCAUCUAUCAUAGGCUUAAAGAUGAUAAGUUCUAUGACACAGAGUCACAUACAGCAACCACUGAUGAGUGCAUGUUAUCUAUCCCUUGUGGAAAACAUCUAGUUAAGGUUUGAAAUCUCUUGAAAGUUUCCUCUGCUAUCUUGAGAGAUUAGUCUCUUGAGAGACUUAUGUGCCUYUGUAGCAAAUUGAGAUGACAGUUAUGGAUACC